UACGUAGGGGGCAAACGUUGUCCGGAUUUAUUGGGCGUAAAGAGCGUGUAGGCGGCUUGGUAGGUCCGCUGUGAAAACUCGAGGCUCAACCUCGAGAUGUCGGCGGAAACCACUUGGCUAGAGUCCGGAAGAGGAGAGUGGAAUUCCCGGUGUAGCGGUGAAAUGCGCAGAUAUCGGGAAGAACACCUAUGGCGAAGGCAGCUCUCUGGGACGGUACUGACGCUGAGACGCGAAAGCGUGGGGAGCGAACAGG
rnacentral:rRNA from 1 species